rnacentral:rRNA from 1 species
GGGGAAUAUUGGACAAUGGACCAAGAGUCUGAUCCAGCAAUUCUGUGUGCACGAUGACGUUUUUCGGAAUGUAAAGUGCUUUCAGUUGGGAAGAAAAAAAUGACGGUACCAACAGAAGAAGUGACGGCUAAAUACGUGCCAGCAGCCGCGGUAAUACGUAUGUCACAAGCGUUAUCCGGAUUUAUUGGGCGUAAAGCGCGUCUAGGUGGUUAUGUAAGUCUGAUGUGAAAAUGCAGGGCUCAACUCUGUAUUGCGUUGGAAACUGUGUAACUAGAGUACUGGAGAGGUAAGCGGAACUACAAGUGUAGAGGUGAAAUUCGUAGAUAUUUGUAGGAAUGCCGAUGGGGAAGCCAGCUUACUGGACAGAUACUGAUGCUGAAGCGCGAAAGCGUGGGUAGCAAACAGGAUUAGAUACCCUGGUAGUCCACGCCGUAAACGAUGAUUACUAGGUGUUGGGGGUCGAACCUCAGCGCCCAAGCAAACGCGAUAAGUAAUCCGCCUGGGGAGUACGUACGCAAGUAUG